GGCAUUUUGUUUCCUUCCAUUGACAUGUUCUUGCCUUCAGUCCCUGUCAUAUCUGAAACAUCUAUUCUUAGUGGACUGUCUUUCCUGGCCAGCUGUCCCUUGCUACUGCAGUUGGCUGUUAGAACCUCUGCAUAUAACAAACCUUCAUUUUCUUCGGACCUGUCGCUUGAUCUUAGUGUGCUCAUCGUCUUUUCCCUGGCCCCACGUGGGUCUGAUAGGGCCUUCCUGUACGGCAUGUCUCCGUUGUUGCUUACCAUCCCCUUGUCUGCGCCUGACUUUGAAUUUCCUGAUGUCACGUCUGAAUUGUCAUUUGUCUCUCUAAUCUGUUUCAGGCUUUGCAGUUUCUCUUCUAAGCACUGUAUCCUAGCUUCUGCUGCUAAGGCCUGUACUUCCCACUUCCUGCACUCUUCAGCUAUCCGCUCCUCCAUUUUCUUACCAAGCUCUACUAUCUUCCUUCCCCACUCUUCCUCCCUUUUUUGGAGCUCUAACUCCCAGUCUUUCCUCCCUGGUUCUUCUACCAGAUCUCUGGUUUUCCGUCCUCUAAGGCCACCCAUAUUUUUUUUUUUUUUUUUUUUUUUUUUUUUUUUUUUUUUUUUUUUUUUUUUUUUUUUUUUUUUUUUUUUGUGUG